rnacentral:misc_RNA from 1 species
UAAUAAGUGUUUUAUGGCACUUUUUAAAUCCAUAUCCACCUUGUGUGCAAUGUCAGUCGAUCCUCUUCAUGGAGAUCGACCAAACAUCAACCUUUAUCUUUUAACUCUUUGUCUGAGGAAUAUUAUGAAUAAACAAUUCAAAAUA